AUGCAGAUGCUCAUGGUUGUGGUUGUGGUUAUGAAUGUGGAUAAGGAUAUGAAUACUUACAUGGGGCUGAUGGUGGCCGUGACGUUGGACGAGUCUGGGGGCGGCCUCCAGGCACCCGGAGGAGGGAUCAGCCUCGUCUGCAAGGGCUCUGGAUUCACCUUCAGCAGUUAUGCCAUGCUCUGGGUGCGCCAGGCACCAGGCAAGGGGCUGGAGUCGGUCGCUGCUAUUAGCAAUACUGGUAGUAGCACAUGGUACGCGCCGGCGGUGAAGGGCCGUGCCACCAUCUCGAGGGACAACGGGCAGAGCACAGUGAGGCUGCAGCUGAACAACCUCAGGGCUGAGGACACCGCCACCUACUGCUGUGCAAAAUGUGCUGGUAGUGGUAGUGGUUGUGGUUCUACUUACGCUAUUGACGUUUUUAGUGCUGUCACCCACAGCCCAGAUUGAGAAAUCAGAGCCCAA